rnacentral:rRNA from 1 species
CUACGUGCCAGCAGCCGCGGUAAUACGUAGGUGGCAAGCGUUGUCCGGAAUUAUUGGGCGUAAAGCGCGCGCAGGCGGAUUGGUCAGUCUGUCUUAAAAGUUCGGGGCUUAACCCCGUGAUGGGAUGGAAACUGCCAAUCUAGAGUAUCGGAGAGGAAAGUGGAAUUCCUAGUGUAGCGGUGAAAUGCGUAGAUAUUAGGAAGAACACCAGUGGCGAAGGCGACUUUCUGGACGAAAACUGACGCUGAGGCGCGAAAGCCAGGGGAGCGAACGGGAUUAGAUACCCCGGUAGUCCUGGCCGUAAACGAUGGGUACUAGGUGUAGGAGGUAUCGACCCCUUCUGUGCCGGAGUUAACGCAAUAAGUACCCCGCCUGGGGAGUACGACCGCAAGGUUGAAACUCAAAGGAAUUGACGGGGGCCCGCACAAGCGGUGGAGUAUGUGGUUUAAUUCGAAGCAACGCGAAGAACCUUACCAGGUCUUGACAUCC